UGAGUAUUACAUCAGGUACUGGUAUUUUUGAUUUCAUAACCAGUACUUAUGUGAUAUUCGUC
rnacentral:pre_miRNA from 1 species